UAGCAUAGGUUACUCCGAGCUUACGAACCUUCGCUAGUUAUUAGCAUGGUUCAUAAGCCUUAGGGUUGGUUUGGAAACGGACCAGCCUCCCGGUGCGGAAAGGAGAACUGACGGUUACUUU
rnacentral:ncRNA from 2 species